rnacentral:lncRNA from 1 species
UUAAUAAACAAUUGGAAGGACUAAAAAUUUAAUUUAAGUGUGCAGGACUUAGAUUCAAUUAAACUCUGAUUAAAGAUCAGAAGAUAAGGAGUUCAGAAGUUUGCAAGCGUUCAGAAGAUCUUGUAACUCAGAAGUUGUACUCUUCAGACGAUGAAGUCUUCAGAACUUCUUAAGGUCUUAGCUUCAUGAAACUCUGAUGAUCUUCUUGAAGUUUGUAAAGAUUCUCUUUUGCAAGUCAACUUUUCUACCAAUGAAGAAAAGGACCUUUCAAGCCUGAUCAGAACAGCUAAUCUCUUUCUGUCUGUCCUCUUUUGAGAACGUGGGUCGUCAGUUGUGUUAGCUGAAUAAGGAAAGUCUUUUCUGCAGCAGUCAAAGUACCUGAAACUCUUACUCAGUUUUAGAUACAACCAAACUGCAUCAAGACAGGCUGCUUGAAGACAAAAGGUUAUCUACUUCAACGAUCUUCUUUGCAACGACUCUUUUCUAGUCAUAUAUAUACUAAAGGAAUCAGUU